rnacentral:tRNA from 1 species
UGCUUUGUAGCUUAUACUAUAAAGUUCUAAAUUCUUAAUUUAGGGAAGAAAUAAUUCCAAAGUAA